AUUGAACGCUGGCGGCAGGCCUAACACAUGCAAGUCGAGCGAGCGGCGGACGGGUGAGUAAUGUCUGGGAAACUGCCUGAUGGAGGGGGAUAACUACUGGAAACGGUAGCUAAUACCGCAUACCAUCAGAUGUGCCCAGAUGGGAUUAGCUAAUAGGUGGGGUAACGGCUCACCUAGGCGACGAUCCCUAGCUGGUCUGAGAGGAUGCACAGCCACACUGGAACUGGUGCACGGUCCAGACUCCUAAGUGAGGAAGCAGUUGGGAAUAUGGCACAAUGGGCGCAAGCCGGAUGCAGCCAUGCCGCGUGUGGGAAGAAGGCCUUCGGGUUGUAAAGCACUUUCAGCGGGGAGGCGUUACCCGCAGAAGAAGCACCGGCUAACUCCGUGCCAGCAGCCGCGGUAAUUC
rnacentral:rRNA from 1 species